AAAACAAGCGAGGUAGUGGUAUUUCACCAGGGCCGGGAAUGGCUAGCAUGCAGGGAAAACAACUGGGCUCGGUAACACGACGCGUCAUACGCCUGCCGAAAGACACCAAUUGCUGGACUCGUCUAAGGUGGACAGGUCCCCUAUGCUUAACCUGGAAAAGGAACAUGUAUAAUUUUAUAUAUGUUUGCUAAAUAGCCAAAUGCCUCGUCAUCUAAUUAGUGACAUGCAUGAAUGGAUGAACAAGAUUCCCACUGUCCCCACCUACUAUCCAGCGAAACCACAGCCAAAGGAACGGGCUUGGCGGAAUCAGCAGGGAAAGAAGACCCUGUUGAGCUUGACUCUAGUCUGGCGCUGGGAAGAGACAUGAGAGGUGUAGAGUAAGUGGGAGGCCGGGUGCACGCUCAGCAGUGCGACCUGCCCACCAGCACCCCGGCCAUCGGUGAAAUACCACUACUCUGGUCCUUUUUUCACUUACCCGGUGAGGCGGGGGGGGGCAAGCCCCAAGGGGGGCUCUCACUUCUGGCACCAAGCGCCUGGUGUGCACCGGGAACAGUGGCAGGUGGGGAGUUUGACUGGGGCAGUACACCUGUCCAAGCGUAAGGCAGGUGUCCUAAGGCAAGCUCAGAGAGGACGGAAACCUCCUGCAGAGCAGAAGGGCAAAAGCUCACUCGAUCUUGUUUUUUCAGUAUGAAUACAGCACACG
rnacentral:ncRNA from 1 species